rnacentral:rRNA from 1 species
CCGUGCCCAAGAGAUCGGGAUAACACCUGGAAACAGAUGCUAAUACCGGAUAACAACAGAUGAUGCCUAUCAACUGUUUAAAAGAUGGUUCUGCUAUCACUCUUGGAUGGACCUGCGGUGCAUUAGCUAGCUGGUAGGGUAACGGCCUACCAAGGCGAUGAUGCAUAGCCGAGUUGAGAGACUGAUCGGCCACAUUGGGACUGAGACACGGCCCAAACUCCUACGGGAGGCAGCAGGC